rnacentral:rRNA from 1 species
GAUGAACGCUGGCGGCGCGCCUAAUACAUGCAAGUCGAGCGAGAAGACGUAGCAAUACGUUUGUAAAGCGGCGAACGGGUGAGGAAUACAUGGGUAACCUACCCUCGAGUGGGGAAUAACUAGCCGAAAGGUUAGCUAAUACCGCGUACGCUUCUUGGACUUCGGCUCAGGGAGGAAAGCGAUACCGUGGGUAUCGCGCUCUUGGAUGGGCUCAUGUCCUAUCAGCUUGUUGGNGAGGUAACGGCUCACCAAGGCUUCGACGGGUAGCUGGUCUGAGAGGACGAUCAGCCACACUGGCACUGCGACACGGGCCAGACUCCUACGGGAGGCAGCAGUAAGGAAUAUUGCGCAAUGGGCGAAAGCCUGACGCAGCGACGCCGCGUGGGGGAUGAGGGUCUUCGGAUUGUAAACCCCGUUUCGGG